UCAUUCUCUGGCAUUACAGCAGCCUGACAACAGCUGAGAGGGCUGAGACAAACUGGUGUCACCCAUUUCAAGAGCUUAGGCCUUGCAGAAUGGAAGUGCAGAAGGACCCAUCUGAGGAACAAAGAUUAUGAUUACGCUUUGGAAACACCAGGGAAGAAAACAUGAAAAACAGAUUUGAGAGAAGCACAUAAAUGGAAAACAAAGGCUGGCAACUUUGAUACGCCAUAUGGAGUGACGGGGUGACAGAAGAAGAAGUAAAAUAGUCCAAACACUGAAAACUUGGUACAAUAAGACAAAAAAGUGUGAGAAUCCAGGCAGGAUGCUUUAGGAUGGAGAAGAGGGAAGGUAAGGGAAAUGCAAGCCUUGUGCAGGGGUACAGCUGCAGCUGGGAUAUGAACUUUAUGAUUAAGCACUUCUCACAGCUGUGUGGAAGUUCCACACACCAUUACAGAGACAUCUAGCUGAAAAAUGCCAAAAGGACAAGAAAAUAGUAAAGGAGAAGUGUCUUAAGUGGCCAGCAGAGUGGAAAUAUUUUAUUAAGUUGGGGGUAAUGUCUGAGUGAAGUUUGUGUUGUCUUUCCUGGCUGUCCAUUCAGAAUAGACAUGAAAAAUGCAUGUGAAAAUAUCCAUUUCCCACAUCCAAGGAAGACCAGAAAAUAUUUCUUUUCAUCAGCAAAUAAAUACUAGAUAUUCUUUUACUGUAUGCUAGUUAUUCAAGUCCUGUCAGAAUGAGGACACAGCUGGAUUGCAGAACUACAGCCAUUGAUAUGAGCACACUGGAUACGCAUAUGUUUCGGUCACUUUACUUUCCAAGGAACACAGCUAACCUCAUCUUUGGAUCUGGCAAAAAUGUGAGCUAUUAGUUUUUCCUGAAGCUUUAUCUGAUGCUUUAAAACCAAACUUUUGUCACUUGAAAUAACCUACAGAAAUUUUACCAGAAGAUAUUUCCAGCCAGUGUUUCUCCUCCUCUUCAUAAUGUUCUUAACCCAACUGCUGAUUAAAAAGUUAAGUGGACUGAUUUCCAGAGCAAUCCAUUUAUGUCAUGACUAUAUGGCUGUGUCCCUGCCAUUGUGUAAGACUUCAAUCCUACUUCUAAUUGCUUUGGGUAUCAUUUCCUUAGGCCUGUUUCUUAUUUCUCUCCUGUCUGUUUGGUUCUUAUUUUAGCAUGUAGUUUACUUUAGCUUUGUGUCAGCAUUGCUUUGGGCUCUGUUAAAUGCUUUUUCGCCCAUGUAUUCUUGUGCACCCACUCAACGCAUGAAGAUGUGCCUUCAGAGUCCAGUGGAACUUUUAAGCUUCUGCCUAACACAGUAAGAUAUAAUCUCCAUCUGCUGUAAUACCAUACCUUUUAAGAUUGUUUCCAAGGUUUUCUCAUAUGCUUGUUGCUAAAGUUUAUUGAUCUAUAGCUUCCUGGCUUACCUUUUCAAGUUUUGAAAAUAUGUAUAGUGAUAAAAAAUACUUCAGUUUUCAGGAUGUUUUUCCUUAUUCCAGUGAAUAUGUAUACAUUUCAUUUCAUGAUUUCACUUAUUUCCAUGCCAGCGACCUUUCCGUAAUUUUCCUGCCAUAGUCAAAGUUCAUUUUAUCCUUAAUCACUUAAUUUAAAAUACUAAGGAUAUACAUUAUUUGCCUUAAAUCUUUUUUUAUCUUCAGUGCUAUAAUCUUCUGUUUUGCAUAUUUUCUCCCCGUAAAAUACGUAAAAGUGUCUCAACAGGUAUUGACCAACUUCCAAAAGAUGUGUAAUUGAGACAUCAUAUUUAUACCAUCAUGAGUUAAUCCAGUUUAUCUGGGAUUAUUUUUCUACGGACUUUAUAGUAACAUAUUUUUGAUCUGCCAUUUCUCAUCUCACCAGGUGAAACGCAUUCCAUUUCAUCUCCUGAGUGCAUUCUCCUUUUCCUUUUUUUACCCUGUCCUUACAUCUUUUUCUGCAAUUAAGUAAUUACUUUUAAAUAUCUUUUCCUCCCAUUUCUUCUUCUUUGCUCUGAUGCGACACGGUGGUUCCUAUUGAGUGUUAUUUAACUAAAGGUUUGUAUAAUCCCCAGCUGCGCUGAAUCAAUCCCCAGCUAUGGAUUUUCUGUACAAUACCAAGUUACAAUUUCCUUUACCUUCUCAUACUAUGACAAAAUCUGUGUAAAAGGGUCAUUAUUUUGUACUGAAUACAGUCUAUAAAAUUCCAAACAAGUUUUUCAAGCCUAAGAGCUUUUCUCUUAGGUAUGAUUCUUCUUUACAUUUACAGGCUUAGCGUUUGUCAGUUCAUUGAUGUGAGUGUACUUAAUUGCGACUCCAGCAGUGUAAAGCAACGCUUUCCUCUGUUUCACAGAAUAUUAUGAAGAAUGCAACAGACUGCUCACAGUUUGUUAUGUUUGUCUCAUUUCCAGUUAUUAGAUAUAAAAUUUUUCAGCCCCAGUUGGCUCUUGCAUGGCACUUUUAAACUUGUCUUCAGUUUGCUGGACUUCCCUCAACUAACAAACACAUUGUAUUCAAAACAAAACAAAACAAAACCCCUAAUAUCAGAGGUGAAAAGAACAGUUAAAGACACUUAUUUGAUUCAACUCAGAUAAGUAAUGAGGAUACAGAUUUUCCCCAGACAGACCUGUUAGCUUAAUGUUAGCCUUGUGAAUUGUACUUCAGAAAUAAACAGCAUCAACUACAUAUACCUGCUGAACACAACAGGGAGGCUACUUGAGCAAAAAAAGGAGCAUGUUUGUUUAAGCCAUAUGUACCUGAAUCAGAAUCACUGAUUCUGAUUAACUUUGUUCUCAACAAGAUUCUCAAUGCGCCACUAUUUUUCUUUGACAUUCAGAGCCCUGCAAGCCUUUUCUCAAGGUGUUCUCAAAUGUCCAGACUUAAAAAUGAAAUAUAUGAAGAUUAUUGAG
rnacentral:lncRNA from 1 species